rnacentral:rRNA from 1 species
CAUGCAAGUGGAGCGACGAACCAGGCUUCGGCCUGGGGCAGAGCCGCGAACGGGUGAGUAACACGUGGGUAACCUGCCUCGAUGACCGGGACAACCCGGGGAAACCCGGGCUAAUACCGGAUGUGCUCUCCCCGCACAAGCGGGGAAUGGAAAGGAAGCUUCGGCCUCCGCAUCGAGAUGGGCCCGCGGCCCAUUAGCUUGUUGGUGAGGUAACGGCUCACCAAGGCUAAGACGGGUAGCUGGUCUGAGAGGACGACCAGCCACACUGGAACUGAGACACGGUCCAGACACCUACGGGUGGCAGCAGUCGAGAAUUUUUCUCAAUGGGCGCAAGCCUGAAGGAGCGACGCCGCGUGUGGGAUGAAGGGUUUCGAUCCGUAAACCACUGUCAUUUGUGAACAAUGGUUGCUAUUUAAAAGAUGGUAACUUGAUAGUAAUGAAAAAGGAAGGGACGGCUAACUCUGUGCCAGCAGCCGCGGUAAUACAGAGGUCCCAAGCGUUGUUCGGAUUCACUGGGCGUAAAGGGUGCGUAGGUGGCAUGGUAAGUUUGAUGUGAAAGCUCAGGGCUCAACCCUGAAAUGGCAUUGAAUACUACGGUGCUGGAGGUUUGGAGGGGGGACUGGAAUUCUUGGUGUAGCAGUGAAAUGCGUAGAUAUCAAGAGGAACACCAGUGGCGAACGCGAGUCCCUGGACAACACCUGACACUG